UCCAAAUUUCCUACAAUUAGAAACUCUACUCCAUCUCCUUCUACCCCUUGCAAUUUGCAAACCCUAACCCCAAAAUCAAUUUGUCCUUAUAGUUGUUGGCGAAUACCCAAUUCCGAUUUUUGUUCAAUCUCCGAUACCCACUUGUAAUCUUGACUAAAGAUUCGAUCUUUGGGGAUCAAUUUUUUCUCUGAGAAAAGAAGACGAAUAAAGGAAUUAGGGUUUAGGAGUUAGAGGAGGAGGAAGAUGGUGAUCACGAUUGAAGAUUUGAGGAAAAAUGAGACCUGGCUUUGUGGGUCUUUCUUGAAAAUGGUUGAUGAUGUGAAAGCCAUGGCCACCGACCCAUCUGAGCAACAAGUGCUUCUGACCCAGAUGGUUUUGAAGGAGUUGAUGAUGAAUAGGAACAAACCAGAAGCAGCAUUCUCACUUGGUUUUCCCAAAAAGAAGAGAUCUGAAUCUAGAGGGAUGGUUUUGAAGGAGUUGAUGAUGAAUAGGAACAAACCAGAAGCAUUCUCACUUGGUUUUCCCAAAAAGAAGAGAUCUGGAUCUAGGGGGAUGCAAAAGCAGAAUCAGAAUCAGAAGCAGAGGAUCAUCAUCAAAUUCAAACGCUGCGUCUCUGCCACUACAGGUAUUGCUUCUUAUUCUUGCUCUGUUUCCCCUGAUUCUGGUAUUGUUGUAAACCCAGACCCACUUCAUGAUGAUCAGAAACAGGAUUUGAAAUUGAAAUUGAAAUUGAAGAGCAAGAAGAGGUGCUACUCUGAAAUCGAACAAGCAGGCGAUGAAGGUUUCGAAGACAUAAACUCGAAGAGGCUGAGAAAGGGAAAGAAUGAUAAGAGGGUGUUACCAAGUGCGCAAUCGAUGACUGAGUAUUUUCCAAAGGAAGAGUUGCAGGAUCGUAUUCGUGGAUCAGAUCACCCAAAGCCAAGAGCAAGAGCAAUAGCAAUAUCAGGGAAGAGGAAUGAGAUCAAGAUCAGUAUGACCAGCUUUGCUUUGUCCUUGUUAAUCUGCUUUCUUCUUGCAGUUUAUGUUCAACAGUAAUUCAGUGAACAACUUUCAUUUUUCCGGUAUGGUUUUUGUAAUUUUAAUACUUUCUCUAUUUCCCCAAAGCUCAGAUAUCGCAUAUCUUCAUUCUCUUUCUCUCAGAUCAUUCAGUAUGCUCUUUGAGUUUGGGGGAUGCAUCCAAUUUCUUCUUAUGUAUACCUGGUAUGUUAGCUUACAUGUGCUCUUUUAGUUUUAGACUGGGCUUAUUAAUGCUUUUAAUCAUUUAUCUUUGUUCAUUCUCUUCUUAAUGGUGGCAACUCAUAUAUAAGAAUUAGCUUAUGAGUAAAGAUGCUUCUGAUUUUUACCCAACUGGCAUGGUAGUCUGCUUGUGUACUAUAGGUUGAAUUACUUGCACUAGGCUAUGUUGAGGAUGAAGGAUGUCUAGUUUCAACAUCUUUGUUUCUUUUGUCCGGAGAACUGAAGGAAUGUUGGUUUAAUUCACCGCAGCAAUUUGAGAUAUGGCUCAUUAAUUUUGGUGCUGAUUAAUGGAAUGUGCUUUAGUUUGAGCUGCAUCUGUCCUUGUUUUUGAAAUGAUUUGAUGUCUUAGUAUGCAAUUUGAGCUAUGUUUUUCAAAUCAGGUUGGUUUAUGAAUUAUUUCCAUUUAUUUUCAUGAAGAUGAGUACUCUCACAUUUGGGUUCCAAAUCUUCUUUACUGCAUAAAACUUCCUAGAAGUAGGGAUGCAAAAUUCCUCACCGAACAGAUGACGAUAUCAGCUAUUCUCCUCCCUGUCGAAUUGUGCGUAUGGAAGUAGCUCUAUAAAUGAUAUUGAAGUUUUUGGAAAAUAUGCAUGAAUGAUAAAGUGGUAGUUUCAUUUUGUAUGCAGCACCUUGGCAAGAUUCUGGUUUCUUAAUAGAACCAAUAGCUCAUGUACACAGAAGAUGAUACAAAAGUCUAGUUUUCCAGUGUUAACUGUCCUGGAACUAUCAAGAUCAAGAUCAUUAUGAAUAACUUUGCUUUCCCUUGUUAAGCUGGUAUUGAGUCUUUGAUUUACAAUUAAGUCAAGUCUAUUAUGUCCGUCUUGUUAGCUAGCUUCAGCAUUAUCAAUGAUGAUAUGUACAUAAGAGUUGUCUACUCCAUUGUCUUCAUCUUGUACGUUCUGUUAGAUAGUAAUUCGAUGAACCGACAUUCACUUUUCCAAUAUUGUUUCGUUUAAUAUUGAAUAUUUUUGUAUUUGCAAAAAAUCAUAUAUAUGCAUUUUGUGCUGCAUCCUACUCCUUUGUUUACCAAUAUGUUAGCUUACAUGUGCUCGUUCUAGUUCUAUACUAGGCUUAUCUGAUCUUUUAAAUGCUUUACUUUUCGUUUUUGUUCCUCUGUAUGCCGACAACACAUAUUGGCCAGUUAAUAAGGAAUAUGUUGGCUUAGUUGAUGGUCAGUCUGUUGAAUAUUCUGAUAGUUAGGGAUCAAAUUAAAUUGGAUGAGCUGAAGAGAGGAAGGAAUGUGGGUUUAUUAUCAAAUUUACCUUUUUCCCAACUCUCACCAAGUAUGACAAAAUGAAUUUUUAUAGGUCAUCUGCUUACUUUCCAAAAAUGAGCUGGAAUUUGUUUUUCCGUUUCUAGGACAUGCAAACGCAUGCUUUCCACCAGUCUAUCUUUCAAUUAUGUGUUAGAUGUUCUAAUGCACAUACAUAUCAUGUGCUAUUAAUGUUUUUGCUUCUUCUGCAAAUUUCCAGGUCAUGUUAACUGUAUAAAAGUUUGACAUUGGUUCCCUGGUGGUUUCUGAACUUAUGCUCGUGCUUUAGUGAGGCUUGGAUGAUCUGUUUGAAAAAGUGAAACUAUCCUCUUUGUAACUUUCAACUCGAGUAAUAUCUGAAUAAAGUACUUGUACUUCUCCAACAGUCCAUCUUCUUGAGUUUUUUAUUGCAUAUCUUGUUUUAUCCCGGCCAUAUAUAAAUGAGUAAACUUGACUAUUUUUCGCUGGGGGUUUAUACUUUGUACUAGUAAACAUUUGUAAAUCUAAUUUCUGGCGAUAUUGUUGUUAUAUUAA